rnacentral:rRNA from 1 species
UACGAGGGGGUGCAAGCGUUGCUCGGAAUUAUUGGGCGUAAAGGGCAGGUAGGUGGUCUCAUUUGUCAGGGGUGAAAGCCUUGGGCUUAACCCAAGAAGUGCCUUUGAUACUGGAGAGCUUGAGUCCGGGAGAGGUGAGUGGAACUGCGAGUGUAGAGGUGAAAUUCGUAGAUAUUCGCAAGAACACCAGUGGCGAAGGCGGCUCACUGGCCCGGUACUGACGCUGAGGUGCGAAAGCGUGGGGAGCAAACAGG